rnacentral:rRNA from 1 species
GACAGAGGUGCCAAGCGUUAGGCGGAAUCACUGGGCUUAAAGCGUGUGUAGGCGGAUUGGAAAGUCCCUUGUGAAAUCCCACGGCUCAACCGUGGAACUGCUGGGUAUACUGCUUUUCUUGAGCCACUUAGGGGCUGUCGGAACAAACGGUGGAGCGGUGAAAUGCGUAGAUAUCGAGAGGAACACCGGUGGCGAAGGCGGCCUUCUGGACAGUGACUGACGCUGAGACGCGAAAGCGUGGGGAGCAAACAGG